CAGUCGCCGCGGUAAUACGAAGGGGGCUAGCGUUGUUCGGAUUUACUGGGCGUAAAGCGCACGUAGGCGGAUUCUUAAGUCAGAGGUGAAAUCCCAAGGCUCAACCUUGGAACUGCCUUUGAUACUGGGGAUCUUGAGUUCGGGAGAGGUGAGUGGAACUGCGAGUGUAGAGGUGAAAUUCGUAGAUAUUCGGAAGAACACCAGUGGCGAAGGCGGCUUACUGGCUCAUACUGGACGCUGAGGUGCGAAAGCGUGGGGAGCAAACAGGAUUAGAUACCCCGGUAGUCCCUGUCUCUUAUAC
rnacentral:rRNA from 1 species